UAUGUGUCACUUGACUGGCACCUCUAACUCUUUUUUCUCUCUCUUUUUAUUUCAUCUUGUCAAAUAUAUCUUUAGACUCUAGCUUUCAUCAGUUUCAUUGCCUUUUGACUCAUAUGUUUUAUUAAUUAAUUUUUCCAGUUGAGUUUCACAGUACUAUCAUGUUCAAUUCAUCUUGAUUUAUUAUUCCAUGGAGCUCCAACUUCAUACACCUUUUUAUGUGGAUUCGUUUCUUCUCUGUAUUCGACUUCUUCUUUUUUUACAGAAUAUUGAAGCUCUAAUGAUGGAUUAUUAUUCUCUACCAGGAUGUCUCUCGAGCUCGCUUGACGGGUUGAUUAAUCUGUUGGCGUUCUACAAUUUACGGUGAGCUUGAAUAAUAUUUCUUUAAUGUUUUCUUUUCUGAAGUCAUCUAAAACUAAUGUAUUGAAAUGGGAAGAAUUUGAUGCAACUAACGUAUUUGAAAAUACGCCUACAAGAAGUGUUUUUGACGCAACUAACGUAUUUGACAAUACGCCUUAAAGAAGUGUAAAACAAGUUUAUAGCUAAAAUUUGUACAAUUUCCUCCUCAAGUCUUUUUGUAUGACUUUUGUGGUGGUAAAACUGAAAAUAUUUCAGGCAUGAUUACGUUAACAAGAUGAAUUGUUGAAGGUGUAAGAUCUGUGUGAGGCUCAUAAGAAAAUUCAUUUGCUCAAGUUGCAAUUACAACCUGAGCAUGUUAAUUAAUUAGCGCCUCUGUUGUGCAACUUAAUUUGUAGGUCCAAUGUUGUAUGUUUGUGAGAACUCUAAGCUUCUGCUAUAAGAAAGUAUUUCAAUUUGUUAAUUUCAGUACCGAUGCGGACAUUUGCAUUUACUUUGAGCGGAAAGAAAAGUCAUUGCAAAGAUGAGAUAUUUUGAAUUAUACUCUUUCAAACAACUUGAUCUCCUAAUUUAAAAUAGGAAAGAAUCUAAUAAUUUUGUAUUGAUGUGAAUUAUGGCCUUACAGGUUCUUGAACAAGCAGAGAUGAUUGAGCUUUUGCUGUGGUUUAACCAUAUCAACUCCUUUUAUGCAACUUGCAAUACCCGUUAUGUUUCUUAAUGAGACAUGAUGACUUGAUUGUUGAGUGCAGGCACUUGAUGGCAAAGCUGCAAGUCACGAAGAUGGAGCAUGUUUUCCGUGAACAAAACAGAGUAGCCGACAGA
rnacentral:lncRNA from 1 species